UUGGUGCAUUUUGAGAAUUCCAUGCUUGGCAUCAAGAGAGCUACAUUAGCUGAAUAGUUCAUAACCAUUGGCUUCAAAAGGAUGUCCUUUUCUGAAGCUUUCAGCAUAUAGGAUUCGCUCAAAUUUUCAAUGCUGUUGUAAAUGUUUCCAAUGCACCCCGCUGUUCCUUGUUUAUUAAGGAGCCUUAUCACAGUGCCAACAGGUAAUGAUAAUAUUGAAGAGAAAAUCAACAAAAUCUUUAGUUGCUUCAGCAAACAGAAUUCUGUGGGUUAUUGGGUCUAUCAGAAGCUUCAAG
rnacentral:lncRNA from 1 species